UAGAAGCCUGGUAGCGAAUGUGUUUCCUAGUCUGCCAAGAGGCAAAAUAGUUGUGGAAUACCUCAUUUGGCAGUGUGGGCCUCUGGUCUGCUUUGUGGAUGGAAGAUAUGUUCUGAAGAGCAGUUUUUGAGACCAUGCCUUUAAAAAAUACUAAAGAAAGAGAGACAAGAUACCUAUAAGGAAUGGAAAAUUCAUACUUAAAAGAGGAGAGAUUUAAAGGAAACUUGGUGACAGCAGAGCUGAGCUGAAAGUGGAGGCGUUUAUAUGGAGGGUGGAUGAAAAUGACAGAUAUUCUGCUUCAGCCUGGAAAAAAUGUGAAUGAUUUCCUUCUGAAGGAUCAGGGUAUGUGCAGAAGCUUUAGCAGAGUCUUCACAGAUCAUGGGAUGGACCCAAUCCAAGAA
rnacentral:lncRNA from 1 species